rnacentral:lncRNA from 10 species
CCAGAAUGGACCUAUGAGGAGAUGAAAGCCCCCCAGCAGCCCCACCAGCACUCUGCAGGCUGUCAUGCAAGGGCUGGCCUGGGGAGAGGCCCUGGGGCCCUGCCAGCACCUGCUUUGGCAAGUGCCCUGCCCUGUUCCAGCCUCUACCUUUUCACUGUGGAACAAGCCAAAAUCUCCCAGCUGUGCAGACUCCAUUCAAGGACCAGCUGGUGGCUGAGCACUUCACAUAGGUGACUUCAUUCUGUCCUCAACACAUGACAGCCCUGCCUCAGCCGGAAUGAACUAGAAGACCACAGCCGUGAAUGACCCUCCAAAACGCAGCGGCUUCAAGGCUAUUUCGCACUCCUGCUGCGUGUGCAUCUCGAGUGGGCUACAGCUCUGACCCCUGUUAUCUUCUUCCCGGGACCCCGGCUGAUGGAGCUGCACAUGGCUGGCUUUGUGCAGAGGUAACAGAGAGAGACAGGGGUGGUGAGCUCACUCUACAGCGUCGCUGGCCCAAACAAUUCACAAAACCACCACAUGCAAGUUCAGUAAGGGCAGGGAGGGCACUGAGGGUCACAUGGCCACGUGACCUCAGCGGAGCGUGCAAGUACAGUCUCCCUCCAGGAUGGGGCUGCUAAUACGUUGCACUAUAACACAGCCAACCACAGGACCCACUUUACAAAUGAACAAACCGCACCUUUCUCCCAAGUUACUCAGCUCCUAAGUGGCAAUCCAGAGAUGUACCCAGGUCUGUGAUUCCAGGGCUGGUAUAGUCAGCCCAUAUACCAGCUGGUAUAAUACAGCAGCUAGCUGUCCUAACCUAGCUGCUUCUCUGCCAGCAUUCCCCUCCAUGACCCCCAGGUCCCAGGACCAAGCUUCCAGGUGGCUCUCUUGGCUUGUUCGACCACUUUGAACCUCAUAGAGGCUGGGCAAAUAGUGCCGCAAUGGAUCUUUCCUCCAGUGAAAUGAUAAGACGAAAGCCCACCCACCCCACCCACAACCCAGGUCGCCAUGCCUCUGGACGGAGAGAAAAUGUCUUGGAAUUCUGAAAUAUGCCAAGACCCAGCAAAUGAAGACGAAGUCUGUGUGGAAGGGCCCAGAGCCAUAAUCCAGCCCAACACCCUCAAGGUGAGAAGCUAAGUCUGGUCCCUGUUAUUCCAUUUUGGCCAGAAGCCUAGCAGCUCCAUUUUAAGCCCUGAACCCUCCCUCCACAUCGGGCUUCAGAUUCUGCCAGUCCACUACUCAACAAGUGAGCCGAGUCUUGUGGGGAUUGAGAUUCACAGAGAAGCACCUCUUUGCCAUACCAGGUAGGACAGGAAACCACCUGUUACCACCUGAAUUAAUUGCAUCCACUAUUUUCGAACUUAAUACCAAAGAGAAAUGGAUGGUGUAACUUUUUACCCCAUACACUGGAUUCAAGAAAAAUAAAUGGGCAUAGAGCUAAUCCCUCCCCUAGGCCAGCCUUGGGGAAAUUUGGAAAACAGGCAAUUAAGCAUGAUCGAGCAGUUUGGCCCAGGAGGAAAAUGACCUCCGCCUGCACAUUGCUCUCUAGUGAUCAAUAAUUCACAGCACUUGCCAGCCAUGUGUGCAGCCCCCAGGCAUCCGUCCCUCCCACCAGCUGGUUCAGCCCUUUCAAGAGGUGCCCAAAGGCCUGAUGCUCAUCCCCACCUCCCACCUGGGCCUGGCCAUGUCAGGAAAACAAGACUCCAAGCCUUUUGUGGGCAGGUUCCUGGGAGCGCUCAUCUGGGACUUAUGUCCUCCAUCUAUAAAGGGACUGCAGGGAAUGAACUCUACCCAGCCUUCAGCAGGGAGAUGGCAUUCAUCUUUCCCACUGGCAUUUCCAAGCCAUCCUCUCAUGACACUUCCUUCAUGGAGCCUUCCUUGAUUACUUCUGUGCUUCGAGUCAUCAUUAAGUCCAUACCACAGUUAUUAACUAUUCAUUAAUUUUAAAAAUGAUUGCUCACAAAUUAAAUAUCAGGACUACAGGACAUACUGGAGCAGAAACCAAUGAACAGCACCCAAUCGUGCCUUGAGGGCUCCAGGAAGCCACAGUCCUGAGAAACAGAUGGACAGGGGAACCAGAUGGGACAGGUGGGACAGAGGAAUGGGGAAACAUGACUGCAAACCACAUCAGCCACAUCCCCUAGAGUGAGGUGGGGAGGAAGACCCAUGCUGUCUCACCACUCCAGGGAGAGCGGACGCAUCAGGGCACAGUGUUAGGGAAGCUCUGCAUCUCUCAAGAUAUUCUGAAAAGGAACAUCAGCCAUGGCGAGAAGCCGAGGUUGCAGCCCCGCUCCCAUGCCGCACCCUGGGCAAACACUCCUCAAGCAGGAUUUCACUCCACUUCCACACACCCUGUGGGUAGGGACUCUUAGUGUCUCCCUUUCACAGAUGGGAAAACUGAGGCUUAAAGAGGUUAAGCAACCUCAGCCAGGUCACACAUGAGCAGUGGAUAAGACCUGACGCCAGGAGGCCUGGCUGCAGAGCUGUGCCCCAGACCUCUCCUGAACGCGGGGCACCACCCCACGUAAACCCUCUGCCACAGCCCCAAUGCUCCAGGGCCCUGCUCUGUGUCACUCACAGAUCUGUUUUAUCCCAUUUCCCCCACUGUAAUGUCAUCUCUGUGGACAGGGAUUUUUGCCUGUUUUGCUCACUGUGUUGUGUACCCUAGUGCCUGGUGUGUGGCAGGAAUUUGUAUUGUUGGGUGAAUUUGUGGAUGAAUGGAUGAUCAAGGAGGCCAGUAAGUGGCUCAGGUGGUCAGCCCCUCAUCCUGCCCCUCCCCAACAUCUCUGUGCCUCCUGCAUGAUGGUGGCACAGGCUGGCCAAUGAGCUUCUGCAUGGAAGAUGGGGCAGGCUACUGGGGUAUGUCAUGGUGGGCCAAGCCAGGGGGCCAUGUAGGGUGGUGGAACCAGUCCAGGUAUUCCCUUGGGGAACCAGAGGGUUGAGUCCAGUGGGGCUAUCAGAACCCACAAGGCCUUGAGAACCAAAGAAGUGAUGAUUGGUUCAAACAGGAGGGUGGCAAGGCCAGGCCAUCAUGGGGCAGGUCUCUGGAGGGGGCCAGGCUGGAACUGGGCCAGUGAUAUAAGUUGGCUCUAUGUCCCCACCCAAGUCUCAUGUCAAAUUGCAAUCCUCAAUGUUGGAGGAGGGGCCUGGUGGGAAGUGAUUGGAUCAUGCGGGCAGACUUCUCCCUUGCUGUUCUGGUGAUGCUGAGUGAGUUCUCAUGAGAUCUGGUUGUUUAGAGGCAUACGGCACUUCCCCCUUCUCUCUCUCUCUCCUGCUGGCCAUGUGAAUAUGUGCCUACUUCCCCUUGGCUUUCUGCCACGAUUAUAAGCUUCCUGAGGGAAGCUUACUACCCAUAUUUCCUGUACAGCCUGCAGAAUUGUGAGUCAAUUAAACCUAUUUUCUUAAUAAAUUACCCAGUCUCAGGUAGUUCCUUAUAGCAAUGCGAGAACAGACUAAUACAGCCGGGCUCCAUCCACUGGCUCUGCUGCAGGGCCUGAGUAAACUACUGUCCUCCAGGGACCGGUAACACCAGGGACAAUAAGGAGGCUUAAUCAGGAUCCUCUGAUUGCAAGUGACAAAAAGCCAGCCUAAAUUAGCUUAGCAAAAAAGGGGACACAAUUCCAGGCCCUGACAGUGGGCCCUGGGGCUUAAACUCCAUGGGACCCUCUCUGCCUCUCCUCUCUGUUUCUCUCAUGGGGUGGACACAGCCAGUAGCAGCUCCAAGGACAUGUCCCACAGUGCCUUGGCCAGAGCCAGAGAAGGUAUCACCACCCACUGCAAUCC